rnacentral:pre_miRNA from 1 species
CAAAGUGCUUAUAGUGCAGGUAGUUGAUCUUAGUCUACUGCAUUUUGAGCACUUGUAGC